UACGUAGGGUGCAAGCGUUGUCCGGAAUUAUUGGGCGUAAAGAGCUCGUAGGCGGUUUGUCGCGUCUGCUGUGAAAACUCGGGGCUUAACUCCGGGCCUGCAGUGGGUACGGGCAGACUAGAGUGCGGUAGGGGAGACUGGAAUUCCUGGUGUAGCGGUGAAAUGCGCAGAUAUCAGGAAGAACACCCGUGGCGAAAGCGGCUCUCUGGAACGGUACUGACGCUGAGACGCGAAAGCGUGGGGAGCGAACAGG
rnacentral:rRNA from 1 species